GAUGAACGCUGGCGGCGUGCCUAAUACAUGCAAGUCGAGCGAACAGACGAGGAGCUUGCUCCUCUGACGUUAGCGGCGGACGGGUGAGUAGCACGUGGAUAACCUACCUAUAAGACUGGGAUAACUUCGGGAAACCGGAGCUAAUACCGGAUAAUAUAUUGAACCGCAUGGCUCAAUAGUGAAAGACGGUUUUGCUGUCACUUAUAGAUGGAUCCGCGCCGCAUUAGCUAGCUGGUAAGGUAACGGCUUACCAAGGCGACGAUGCGUAGCCGACCUGAGAGGGUGAUCGGCCACACUGGAACUGAGACACGGUCCAGACUCCUACGGGAGGCAGCAGUAGGGAAUCUUCCGCAAUGGGCGAAAGCCUGACGGAGCAACGCCGCGUGAGUGAUGAAGGUCUUCGGAUCGUAAAACUCUGUUAUUAGGGAAGAACAAAUGCGUAAGUAACUAUGCACGUCUUGACGGUACCUAAUCAGAAAGCCACGGCUAACUACGUG
rnacentral:rRNA from 1 species